AAAACAAAUGAGCUAUUAAGCCAGACAAAGCCAUGGAAGAAUGUUAAAUGUAUAUUACUAAGUGGAAGAAGCCAAUCUAAGGAGGCUGUUUACUGUAUAGUUUCUACUCUUUGACAUUCUGGAAAAGGCACAGGAAACUAAAUAAUUUUAAUGGUUGUCAGUGUAAGGGGGGUUUCAGGAGCAGGAUGAAUAGGAAAGCACAGCGGCUUUUCAGGGCAGUGACAACACUCUAUGUAAUGAUACCUGUCAUAGUACAUUUGUCUAAACCCACGGAAUAUAGAACACCAAGAGUGAAGCUUUAGGUAAGCUAUAGACUCUGGGUGAUAAUGAUGUAUCAGUAUAGGUUCAUCAAUGACAACAAAUGAACCACGUUGGUGGGAGAUGUUGAUAAUGGGAGAGGCUGGGGGGGGUAAGGAGUAUAUAGGAAUUGUUUGUACUUUCCUCUCAAUUUUGAUUUGAACCUAAAACUGUUUUUAAAAAUAAUAUACAUUUUUUUUUUAAUCCAGCAGGUAGCUGUGGAUAAUUUCUGAAUAGCCAAAGUGAUUGGUCAUCAUUACCAGACCUACAUAGUAUGUCCAAACUUGUGUUCUGGGGUCCACUGAUCCUGAAGUUCCCUCACAGUCCAGAAACCAAGACAAGACAAAUGAAGUGUACCUGACACAGGAAAUGAGGGUAGUCAUUUGGGUGAUAGAGCACCAGCUCCCCAUAAAAUGCUUGGAGUGAGGUGGGCAGUGAAACAUAAGGCGCCAGUCACAGUGCUCGUAUCUGACUUCAUGCUGGGAAAAACACACAUUGUAAAAUAAGCAUUCUUCAAAGACAACCUGAAGACAUCUGGGAAUUCCAAAGGCUGAAAAUUCCAUGAGUUCAUAGAAGCUUUCACUAAUUCUACUGAUCUAAAGACAAAAAGGAAAGAGUCAACUGUGUGCCCAAACUCAUUUCUGAUGAUUUCUUCCAUCCUACCCCUUCUGCCUCUCUGGGGGUGGCUGUGCCUGUAAAAAACAUUGAAAUUGUCAGGAACAGAGUCAGCUUUCAAGAUUGGAAUGUCAGAGUAGAGUCUUCUUUUCUUUGGACCAGAGGAGGCUUGGUUCGAUUUAUGAUCUUUGAUGUCUCUCCUUUCCUAGUCUUGACUAAGGAUAUUAUCCCAAGUGUGUGCUCCUGA
rnacentral:lncRNA from 1 species